rnacentral:lncRNA from 1 species
GAAUUGUCUGUGCUACUUUUUCUUCUUUCCAAUUUGCUCUAGAUGUUUUCCUGAUUUGUGAAUAAAAAAGAAGUAAUGUUGAUACCGAACUUCGCAUACACAAUCAGAAAAUACCAUUUAGCACUCCGCCAAGUACAAAACAAAAUAAGAUUAAAAAUUAAAAAUAUAAUACAAUGAAAAUAUAAUAAUGAAAUUAAAUUAAAAUUAAAUAAAAAUAAAUAGAAAA